CUCUUCUAGUAUACUAAGUACAAUUGACUUCCAAUCUUUAGAAUCUGGUAAUAACCCAGAGAAGAGCA
rnacentral:tRNA from 1 species